CCCUCCUUUCUGGACUCCUUUCCCCCUCUCUAUCGUCCCUGCAUCGCCAGUCUGCUUCUGUUGUCUCGGCGGAUUGUUGGUCUGGGGAGAAAGGAUAUCGCGAGUGUUGGAGUUUUGGUGAGAGUUUGUGGAAGAUGGCGCCUGUUGUGACAGGGAAGUUUGGGGAGCGCCCUCAACCACAGCGCCUAACAAGAGAAGCGAUGAGGAAUUACCUGAAGGAGCGAGGAGACCAAACUGUCCUGAUCCUGCAUGCAAAAGUUGCCCAGAAAUCUUAUGGCAAUGAAAAAAGGUAUCAACCACCACUUACCCC